AUUGAACGCUGGCGGCAUGCCUUACACAUGCAAGUCGAACGGUAACAGGUCUUCGGAUGCUGACGAGUGGCGAACGGGUGAGUAAUACAUCGGAACGUGCCCGAUCGUGGGGGAUAACGGAGCGAAAGCUUUGCUAAUACCGCAUACGAUCUACGGAUGAAAGCAGGGGACCGCAAGGCCUUGCGCGGACGGAGCGGCCGAUGGCAGAUUAGGUAGUUGGUGGGAUAAAAGCUUACCAAGCCGACGAUCUGUAGCUGGUCUGAGAGGACGACCAGCCACACUGGGACUGAGACACGGCCCAGACUCCUACGGGAGGCAGCAGUGGGGAAUUUUGGACAAUGGGCGCAAGCCUGAUCCAGCCAUGCCGCGUGAAGGAUGAAGGCCUUCGGGUUGUAAACUGCUUUUGUACGGAACGAAAAGGUCUUUUCUAAUAAAGAAGACUGAUGACGGUACCGUAAGAAUAAGCACCGGCUAACUACGUGCCAGCAGCCGCAGUAAGAC
rnacentral:rRNA from 1 species